rnacentral:lncRNA from 1 species
AAAGAAAGAAGAGAAAACCAUGUUGGCUGGUAUUUCCUUUAAAUAUGAAAGACUUUGAAUAAACAAAUAUCCUACCUCUAUCAAUAUCAGUUUACCUUUUCGAAGCUUGCUAGCAAGUGGUUCACAAAAAAAGUAAGAAAGCCUUCUUUUACUUCUUCAACAGCUAGGUUAUUUUACCAUGUGAAUUAUAUAGUAAGAGGUAAAAGAUUUUCCUUAAUGUAAAACAAAGUUUCUCUAUUAUAGCACAAAAGUACUCUUGCUGGUGAGACAAGCACCAGACUGAAACACUCAACAGAGUGAAUGGAAGGGCAGGAACUCAAAGCUGAAUGAAACUACGCUUGACUGGCUGUGUUGGCCUUGGCCAAGUUUCUUCACUUACCCUGUCUUUGAAAUGGGGACGAUAACCCUGAUCUCAGCAUGUCGCUGUGAUGGUUCACAGGCUGACACCGGGAGGACGCACAGAGUCAGGGAUCUGACCCUCAGUCCUUCCACCCUCUCACCUGCCAGGGGGCACUCAGAUGUGGAAGGGAGCGAUCACAGCCAGGUGAGAAGGACUUGAGCGGGUCCUUGAAAAUGCGUAGGAUCCAGGUAGGCAGAAGGCAGGCAAAAUGAUUAGGACUGGAAGACAUUUGCAUGACUCAAGGCAUGGAGUCUGAAAUAACCAUGAGCGUUUAGAGCCCUUUCCCGUCACUGGUGAGAGGACAGUACCAAGCAGGCUGUAAGGGCACAACAAAUAUCACCUAGGAGUCUUGCUAAAAACUAAAUAGGAGAGACUCCUUUCUCCCCGCUUUCCCGCCCCAGCACACACACACUCAUACACACGGCCCUAGGGAUGAUUUUGAUCCCUCCAUCUGGGGAGAAGUAUUUUAAAAAGCUGGCAACUAAGUAUUUGCUUAGAACUAACCAGAAAGGUGGUUCUGACGCUGAGUCGGGUUUGGGAGCCACUGGGUUUAGCUAACAGUAACUGCGUGAUCUGACAGAGAAGAGCUCACGCUUGGCAGCAGGAGCGUGAGCAGAAGGGCAAACACUGGGGUAGGAGCCUGGAUUCAAAUACCUCUCUGGCCCUCCAUGGCCAUAUGACCUUGGACGGCUACACUCUUGUCUUAUCCUCGUUUGUCUCAUAAUGCGGUAGAGAUCAUAGCACCAACUCUGCCUACUUUAAAGGACUUUGGUGAGAACCUACUGAUUUUAAGCCGCUGUUACAAACUUUAGCGGAGAAGCACCGAACUGCAAAGUGCAACACAAAUAUUCGGGGUCAUCAUUAAUCAUCAUUAUUAUCAUGGGGACCCUGGGAUGCCAGAAUGCCAUGGUCACCUCCCCCCAUCUCUCAAGAUAACCCCAUGGUUAUCUUGAGGCAGCACUGGGGCAGGGCUCUGGAAAGGGUUCCAUAUUGUUUGUUAUGACAUCCGGGAACAGUUACCCCUUCCUCAGGGCUCGACAAUGAUUCGAGUGUGAGUCCUGGAAUCAUCAGGAUCUCACAGAUCUUACAGGUCGUUUGAAUUGUGCCAUGCUCAUAAAUCUAUACAACAACCAGUAGUGGUUACGUGCCUUGAACAAGUUACUCAACCUCUCCAAGCCUUGGUUUCCUCAUGCGUAAAGUGUGGACAGUAUCAGGACUCAGGGCCACCACGGACAAUUACGAAAGCUGUGCUGUACACAGAAGAAGCAGCCAAGGGGGACCAUGGAGGCUGAAAUCCAGCCCAGGGUACACUCACUUUGCCACACACCCAUGGGGCUGCAUUUUCUCAGAGGAGGCACUAUUUUCUAAUUCAUGAGCCAGAGUGGAAGCCUUUUUCUAAAUCACAGCAAGCUGCUAACAGUGACCCUGGCAGUACUUGCCCCAAAGCCUGGGCAUCAAAUGAGACAGCACAUGAAGCCUUAGCACAAUGCCUGGCAUACAAAGGGUCUGAUUCAGGGUAGCUGAAUCUGCCUACAUUUUUACUAUUCUGAACUACACAAACACAUUCUUGUUUGAAGUAGCUUAAGAGAAAAUGAAAAUGCAUGUACUCUUCUUUUUAAUCCAAUUGUCCAGAUACUUUGCAUCAAAUAACGAACCUAACUUUCAAACAAAGGAAAAUGCCCUUUUUUAAAAACCAAAUCAGGAGUUUUAUGUCUAGUUUCUGAUAGUAAAAGAGGAUUGAACCUAUGCAACAUUAUGAGACUAGACUUAGUCAGCUGUAAUGUUCUCUACAGAGACAGAUGGACAUAAGGGUAAGAUAAAAUGUUCGUAGAUUUGUGCUGGAAAUCCCUGGUGAUAAAUGACAGGCUUGAUUGCUACAUCUCCUAAUUUCCUUUUCUUAGUGAAGUAGUCCUAGGUGAGAUUUACCCAGGAAAUAGCCUUCACAGUUUUAGUACCAAUGGUUUAAUGAAUUAACUGAUAAUGGAUAUUGUACAUAAAAUUUUAAUUAAGAAACAGAUUAAUUAAGAAGUUUUCAAAAACAAGCCUUGGAUCUGAAAAUCUAGCACACCCAAUCUCUUUUUAUACCUAACUGCCACAAUGCCUUUAAAAAAAUUGAUUAAUAUAUUUUCUUCAAUAUACAUAAUAACGAAAAUAUAACCAUUACAACUCUGUAAACACCAGGGAUAAUGUUAUUGCCCUUCUUUCAUAAUGAUGCGGUCAGAAUCAACAUACAAUAAAAGAAAACAAACACACUUUCCCUCUUGGGAGCUCACCUUCCCCGAGAGCAAAGGGCACAGAGCAUGUGGACUGAAGACUGUAGAUGCUCAAGGAAAGGCUUUCAUGGUCUUUCCAGGUCUAAUAUCCUGUGACUUUACAAGGCACUUUUAUCUUAUUUAAAUAACACCAAAUCACCAAGGACUGUGAACUCACAAAUCAAGGCAUGAUGAUGCAAGAGACUGGCUUUCUCUGAAUGUAGGGUCAGUUACAUUCUUUGCCCGGCCCAGUGUUAAAUGAAAACGUGGGUCCUUCCUUCAGCAGUUAUUACGGAUUUUAAAAUGGUGACAGGUAAGCAUUAAACCAAGGGUGGGGUCCCUCUGUGCAUGGGACCCUGCUCGAGUGGGGCACAGGGACUAUUGAGAUUCUACGGGUAUCUGUGACCGGGAUAGAGUAGGAUCCUUCAGCAAUCGGUUUAGAAAUCCCACCAGGGGAUGAAGGAUAGAAAGGGAAUUUUAAGGGCGUUUGGGAGACUGUUGGAAACUAAUGACACUCAAGAAGAGAAUCCAGUAACCUGGCAACAGUCUAUACCACCUUGAAGGAAGACCAAGUGCAUCUAAACACCAGACACACUCAAGCCGUGAACCCUAAGAGUUAAAACACAAGACAAUAGACAUGGGCUCUGAAUCUUGCCCACGACACUCCGGGUUAACUCAUACAGGGUCAAAAGAGGAGCUAAUGAGGUAGGCCUUGACGUCUACCCCCAAAUGAGGAAGAAGGUGGUCUUCCCCCUCCUUGCUUUUCCUUUGAUUAUAAAACGCAGCCCUCUCUGCUCUCGCGGCGGCUGUGCUCCCUCACCAGCCCGCUUGUAUCUCUCACAAGGGUCCUCUCUUAAUAAACACACUCUUCGCCUGCUGCUCUGCCUCACGGGAAAGUCUUUCUGUGAUGGGCUAAAAGAACAUGAGCUUCAGUAAGGCCUGACACCAAGUUAGCAGUUUUCAUUAAAAGACUGUUCUGUAACAGUCCUUGAGUCCUCUCCCAGUCGGGGAUUAUGGGUUCAAGACCCAAUCUGAGGUGCGGGUGGGUUCAAGUCCCAGCCUGUGGGAUGGAGUCCCAAUCUGAGUUUUGGCUGGGUUCGAGUCCCGCUCAAGAGGAAUAGGGUCUCAUGUGCAGGCCUUGGACUCCCAUCCUGUCUCCCUCCUGGUUCCUUCUCCAGUUCUGGCAGAUAGAGUUCCAAUAACAGGAUGUUCCAGUUAUUAAGUCUCUGCUGUUGAUGGAGGCUAGGCAACCAAAGCACAUGCGGAGUGACACGGACAGGUAUUCCAGGGUAUACUCUGGGCUUCUGCACUUUCCCAGUCUAGCAAAACAUCCUAAGAAAUCCAGACAGAAAAGGAACUAAAAGACUUAGGAUAUCAAGUUUCCUUUAUACACACAGUCUUGAGUCUAUAAAGUUAAAUAGGACCUUUGUCCAACUUUUCUCAUUUUAAUCAAGUUCUAUUUAGGCCAAGGGCAUGGGAGUGAAUUCUUGGUUGCAUAGCUCUAAAGCUAUGAUAAUUUUGAUGAACAAAUCAUAACGGAUGAUCUUUCAGAAAGAAAAUGUUAGCUUAAUGAAUGAUUCCUGUUAUAACACUUAUGGAUUUGCACAAGGCGCUGCCAGCCAUGCUAACAACAUAUGUAGUAUUUGAGUUGUUACAAAAUUUCAUUCAAAGCAAAGAGAGUGAGGCCAAUGUCUUCGCACUUGGAAAUCCUUGAACUUGGGAUCUAGAACAGUUAUAUACGAUACAGAACAAGGCAGAUGAAUCUAGGUAUGAAGAGAAUGGGUGGUUUAAGGCUAGAACUAAAAGCAUUUCCUUUACCAGAAGAUAGUCUAUUCUCCACAGAGAAUAGAUAGAGAGAUAGACAGACAGACAGAUAGUCAGAUACAUAAAAUAAACCCUUAUACAUUGUUCAUUAAGGGUCAGACAUUAUGCUAAAUAGUAUGAAAAUACUAAAUCAUUUAACUCUCAUAACACUCUAACAAUCGUUUGAGAUAAGUACUAUGCUUAUCCUCCUUUUUAAAGAUGGGGAAAUUUAGGAACAUCAAGAUCAAUUACCUUGCCCAAGGCUAAUUAAUAAGUAGUGGAAGCAGGAUUCGAACCCACGUAGGCUUGGCUCUAGCAGCGGCUCGCUCUAAACCACUAGAUCAUGAUGCUUGCCAGUAAUCUUCCACCAUGCCCAGACACCACUAACCCCACCCACCACUACACUGUAUACAACAAAAGUAAAACAGCAUGCAUUUAAGACACUGGGAGAUUUACGCUCCCAGCGCUGUAGCCAUAGCUGUGGCAAAUAUUUAUGUCAACGUUAUGGCUGAACUGAGGCUAAUUUCACAGAUGUUAAUUACCAUUACACAGCUGUGAUUCUGUACAAAUGAUGAGAUCUCAAAUAGCUUCAAUCCCUUUUCCACUACCACAGUGCUUCUCUAAAGAGUUAAGAGUACUUUUUCAUUUGCUGUUAUUGCUUUGAUUUAGAUUUAAGGACUAGGACUCAAAGACCACAAAGCCUCUCUCCUUUCUCUCCAAAAAAGAAUAAAACACCCUAUAAGACAACAGCCGAAAUAUGUAAAAGCUUUUUUUCUUUAAAAAAAAAAAAAACCUUACUUUCAUUCUAACAACUUUUCCUCUGUUAUGUCUAUUGUUUAUGAAGUCUUGGUACUAAAAUAAAGACACAAUUUAUUUCCAAGACCAUAGGGACAACUCUUCUUGGCUAGGAAAGAUGCAAUCCAUCAUUGUUUUUCAAGAGUUCUGCAAAGUAUGCAACUCGGCAUCAGGCAAAGAAGGAAAGCACUGCCUUCCCAUCUUUGCGAGGUCAUUGUCACAAAGCAUACAGUCUCAUGCAGCGGUAGAUUAGUUUAACUCAUACUGUCACGCCUUCCAGAUAUUCAACUAUUUGUACUUUGAGGAUGUUAUUCUAGUGGUAAAUAUUAAAUCUGAAUGGAAAAAAACUUUCAAAGAUCCUUCAAGGAAACCUGGACAUGUU